rnacentral:rRNA from 1 species
ACGCUCGACACCUACGGGGGCAGCAGUAGGGAAUCUUCCGCAAUGGACGAAAGUCUGACGGAGCAACGCCGCGUGAACGAUGAAGGUUUUCGGAUCGUAAAGUUCUGUUGUUAGGGAAGAACAAACUUCGUUUGAAUAAGGCGGAGUCAUGACGGUACCUAACGAGAAAGCCACGGCUAACUACGUGCCAACAGCCGCGGUAAUCUGAGCGGGCGUGGCGAAGGCG